rnacentral:rRNA from 1 species
AGUGAACGCUGGCGGUAGGCCUAACACAUGCAAGUCGAACGGCAGCACAGGAGAGCUUGCUCUCUGGGUGGCGAGUGGCGGACGGGUGAGGAAUACAUCGGAAUCUACUUUUUCGUGGGGGAUAACGUAGGGAAACUUACGCUAAUACCGCAUACGACCUACGGGUGAAAGCAGGGGAUCUUCGGACCUUGCGCGAUUGAAUGAGCCGAUGUCGGAUUAGCUAGUUGGCGGGGUAAAGGCCCACCAGGGCGACGAUCCGUAGCUGGUCUGAGAGGAUGAUAAGCCACACUGGAACUGAGACACGGUCCAGACUCCUACGGUAGGCAGCAGUGGGGAAUAUUGGACAAUGGGCGCAAGCCUGAUCCAGCCAUACCGCGUGGGUGAAGAAGGCCUUCGGGUUGUAAAGCCCUUUUGUUGGGAAAGAAAUCCAGCUGGUUAAUACCCGGUUGGGAUGACGGUACCCAAAGAAUAAGCACCGGCUAACUUCGUGCCAGCAGCCGCCGUAA